CCUACGGGGAGCAGCAGUGGGGGAUAUUGGACAAUGGGGGGAACCCUGAUCCAGCGACGCCGCGUGAGUGACGAAGUAUUUCGGUAUGUAAAGCUCUGUCAGCAGGGAAGCAAGCAAUGACGGUACCUGACCAAGAAGCCCCGGCUAACUACGUGCCAGCAGCCGCGGAAAUACGUAGGGCGCAAGCGUUAUCCGGAAUUACUGGGUGUACAGGGAGCGUAGACGGGUGUGCAAGUCUGGAGUGAAAGGAGGGGGCCCAACCCCCGGACUGCCCUGGAAACUGGAUGGCGGGAGUGCAGGAGAGGUAAGCGGAAUGCCUAGUGUAGCGGUGAAAUGCUUAGAUAUUGCGCAGAACUCCGAUUGCGAAGGCAGCAUACCGGCGGCGAUCUGACGCUGAGGCACGAAAGCGUGGGUAUCGAACAGGAUUAGAUACCCUUGUAGUC
rnacentral:rRNA from 1 species